GGGGCGGCGGGGCUGGUG
rnacentral:miRNA from 1 species